UACGGAGGGGGCUAGCGUUGUUCGGAAUUACUGGGCGUAAAGCGCACGUAGGCGGCUUUGUAAGUUAGAGGUGAAAGCCCCGGGCUCAACCCGGGAAGUGCACUCGAUACUGCCACGCUAGAGUAUCGGAGAGGUUGGUGGAAUUCUCGGUGUAGAGGUGAAAUUCGUAGAUAUCGAGAGGAACACCGGUGGCGAAGGCGGCCAACUGGACGAAUACUGACGCUGAGACUCGAAAGCGUGGGGAGCAAACAGG
rnacentral:rRNA from 1 species